ACUGCCUCUCACUGCCCUGCAACACCACCAGCUGCCGUAGAACUGCCUGCCUCACUGCCCUGCAACACCACCAGCACUUUUGGAGAUUCGGCAUCGGCUCCUCUAUCUAGUCGGCACCUCCCGCUCCCUCCAGAUUCUUCAAGUAAGUUAUGAAUAAAGGGAUAUUCCUUGCUUUUCAUUGGCGGCAGGGGACUGAAAGGGAAUGGCUGUCUCCAUUUGAACAUCUGCUGCCCUGAUGGAGGGGAGAGUGGAGCUGAAGGAGUGAGUAGAAGAGCUUGAGCACAAGUGCAUCCAAGGGGAGACAGGCCGUGCUGUCCACAUUCUUGCAACUCAGGCUGUCUCCUGGUCUUCGAAAGGUCCUUUUUGCCUCAGCUCUUGGUACGGUCGCCCUAGCCCUGGCUGCACACCAGCUAAAACGGCACAAGCACAAGAAGAAGCAGAUUACAGCAGGCAAUGGAGGCCUAAAGCUCGGCGGGGUGCCUGGCUCUGUUUUGCCCGUUAGGCGUUCUUCCUCAGCUAAAAAAGUUAAACAUAAAAUGCUUCUAGUCAUCUAUACUUGGGGACGCUGGGAAUCAGAAAGCAGAUUGUUGUCAGAGAUGGACUUGGAGUACUCCUGAGCGAGACGCCUGCUGCCCAUUUGGAGGCUGCAAAUCUCUGCCUGACUCUGCUCCCUACAGUGUGGAUGGUGAGUCGCGGUAUCCGGCAGGAGGGCUGGUGUGACGUACUUAAGGCUUUUCAGCUCACAGGGAAAUUGUAAAAAGCAACUCAGACACAGGGGGAAGAUAGAAUCUCCUAGAGCUCCAUGAGGCGUGAGAACCUUGCUUCUGGGGCAGCAUUGCUGAGGCGGGGCAAUGACCAGACGUUGGACCUUCAUGGAGAGACUCGGUCAAAGGUUGAACCUUUUGAGAGGAGCUUGAACUGAUAAUUCUGACUUGCUGAAAAGCACUGCCCUAAGUCUUUCAGGCAUUUCUGGAGUUAAUGGACUGCGUAUUCCCCAUUUUCCAGCAACAAUUUGGCAUGUGUGGAGUUAAUGGAAUGCUUAUUGCCCUUUUUCCAAGGAUCGUACCGGCAUGUGUGGAGUUAAUGGA